rnacentral:lncRNA from 1 species
AGAAGAAACAGGAGCUUAGGUGUGGCCAAUGGCAGCUUCACAGGAGGCUAGGUUUGCCGGCUUGCUUUUACAUUUUUGAGGAGGAGGGCUCAAAAAGGAAAACAAUGAAGCAGAACCAGGGCGAGUUCUCCUGUGCCUAGCUUACGAGACAAAGAAGAGCAGUGGGCAUCUCAAAUCCAACUCAUUCAUUGGCCCUGAUUCAGAAGGGGGUCCCACCUGCUGGGUCUGAACAUCCAGCACAGGCAAGAGUCUGAGGAGCAAGACGGGAUCCUGCAGGUGAGCCUGGAGGACCAGCGCCCUGACCCAAGCAGUGGCUGCCUCAGGCCCCGCUCAGGGUGUGAGGAAUGGUAUGGUGAACAAGACAGAGAAGCCGCCAGUCCUGAAGCUCACGGUGGGGAGGCGCCGUGGACUUGGAGGAGUACUGGACACCCCCUGAGGUCCAGCACACGGGCUCCCCAGCAACGAGACGCACGUCAGAUGAUGACUACGUGACCAGAUUAAGACCAGACCCGAGACAGUUAACAGUGUGGUUUUGAUAACGCACAACAAAAAGUUUUUACUGGCGCAAUACAAAACUGAGCCUGUGGCUGGAGCAGGACUUCCCAGUCACCAGGAACCGUUGACAGACAAAAGUAAACCAACAAGACGAUUUCCGAUUUUGGUACAGCACGAUGAAG